GUUGGCGACGUGGAUUAGGCAUGCAAGUCGAGCGAGAAGCUUCCUUCGGGAAGUGGACAGCGGCAGACGGGGUAGUCAUACAUAGGUUACGUACCCUCAGGUCUGGAAUAGCCACGGGAAACUGUGAUUAAUGCCAGAUAAUCUCUGCGGAGCAAAGGUGUGAUUCCGCCUGAGGAGCGGCUUAUGCGUUACUAGGUUGUUGGUGAGGUAACGGCUCACCAAGCCAUUGAUGACCAGGGGGUGUGAGAGCAUGACCCCCACCACUGGGACUGAGACACUGCCCAGACACCUACGGGUGGCUGCAGUCGAGAAUCUUCGGCAAUGGACGCAAGUCUGACCGAGCGACGUCGCGUGCGGGAUGAAGGCCUUCGGGUUGUAAACCGCUGUCAGAGGGGAGGAAAUCGCUGGAAGCUAUCUUCCAGUGUUGACCGAGCCUCAGAGGAAGCACGGGCUAAGUUCGUGCCAGCAGCCGCGGUAAUACGAACUGUGCGAACGUUAUUCGGAAUCACUGGGCUUAAAGGGUGCGUAGGCGGUUAUCUAAGUAGGGUGUGAAAUGCCCCGGCUCAACCGGGGAACUGCGCUCUAGACUGGGUAGCUUGAGUAAGAUAGAGGUGUGCGGAACUUCCGGUGGAGCGGUGAAAUGUGUUAAUAUCGGAGGGAACACCGUUGGCGAAAGCGGCACACUGGGUCUUAACUGACGCUG
rnacentral:rRNA from 1 species